UACGGAGGGUGCAAGCGUUAAUCGGAAUUACUGGGCGUAAAGCGUGCGCAGGCGGUUUGUUAAGUCUGCUGUGAAAUCCCCGAGCUCAACUUGGGAAUUGCAGUGGAUACUGGCAAGCUGGAGUACGGUAGAGGAAGGUGGAAUUCCCGGUGUAGCAGUGAAAUGCGUAGAGAUCGGGAGGAACACCAGUGGCGAAGGCGGCUACCUGGACCAGCACUGACACUGAGGCACGAAAGCGUGGGGAGCAAACAGG
rnacentral:rRNA from 1 species